rnacentral:rRNA from 1 species
ACAACGAAGAGUUUGAUCCUGGCUCAGGACGAACGCUGGCGGCGUGCUUAACACAUGCAAGUCUAACUAGAAAUCAUCCUUCGGGAUGUGAGUAAAGUGGCGAACGGGUGAGUAACGCGUAGGUAACCUGCCUUCAGGUUAGGGAUAACCCUGCUAAAGCGGGGCUAAUACCGAAUGAUGUCUUUCAAUGCAUGUUGAUAGAUUAAAGAUGGCCUCUACUUGUAAGCUAUCGCCUGUAGAUGGACCUGCGUCUCAUUAGCUUGUUGGUAGGGUAAAAGCCUACCAAGGCGACGAUGAGUAGCCGGCCUGAGAGGGUGUCCGGCCACACUGGGACUGAGAUACGGCCCAGACUCCUACGGGAGGCAGCAGUGAGGAAUAUUGCGCAAUGGUCGAAAGACUGACGCAG